CGGUCCAGGCGCUUCCUGGGUCCUCCUUGCUGGAAAGUAGGAAUGGGUUGCUGUUCGGACUUCUCUCUCACCUCGGAGCUCAUUCCCCAGCCUGGCCAGCAAGCCCAGGUCCAAGGUCCCCAAGGCCGGUGUUGAGGGUUGUGGGGGAGGGGUGAGAAACAGAACCGGAGACCCGGGUGAGGACCCAGCCCAGAGCCAUCUAAGACUAUCAACUCUGGAGGUUCCUCCUCCAGCUCCCGCUAGCCUGGGACUUAUAUGAAUCCGAGGAAGAGAGAGAGAAAGAGAGGAGAGGCCCUUAGCCUCGCACUGCACCCCAAGCUGUUGUGGCGACGGGUGUGCGGCACUCUGCCCGCUACCAUUCGCGUCCUUCGCCCUCGAUUGGCUACGUGGGGACCGCAGCACCCCUUACCUGUGACUCCGCGGACUGCCUCAGCCUCCAUGCUCCGUAUACACAGCUGUUUCAAAACGUUGCUUUGGGAGGAUGCAGCGGUGAGUGAUUUCAAAUUUCACCUUUCACCCGACUCUGAUGGAAACACACCGGAUGUCCCAACUACUGGGGAGACCGAGGGAGGAAGAAGGCUUGAGCCCAUUAGCUGGAGAACAAUCUGGGAUCCUGACAACUGGCCUUGGGGCAAUGGUAACUGGGGACACAACACAAUUCUGCGCUGUGUGUAGCAGGGAAUUCUUUUCCACUCUGGUGAAGCCAGAAUUUUUGACUUCAGUGCCAAA
rnacentral:lncRNA from 1 species